UAUGUCGAUUUACAUGAACAUUCCCCCAAAAAACAUAAAAAUCGAUCGAUCGAUCAUGAACAGCAAACGACGCAGGUGGCUACGUACCAGCGGCAGCAUCUCUGGCAGCCGUGAACGUAGAUUCCGAUUUGAAACGCUCCAAAAUGAAUCUGUCCGCUUUUCUGUUCAUUCAAAUCAAUUUUGCUCAGUUCGCUGUCAGUCUUGGCAUCUAAGGGUUUCACGUUUAAGCCAGACAUCGACGUCGUUGCCUCCUUCACAUCUGCAUGCAGGUAGUGCGUACGUAGCCAAAGCAUCAUCCAUCGUGAAAUUAAAUGAAAUAAUCAGUAAGUAUAAACUACAAAUUAAAUUACUAACAAUUAACCAACUUUUUUGAAUUAAUUCCCGCCGCGCAUCUGCUACAUCAGAUGAAAUGAUCAUAACGACGAUGUUGAUUAUCAAAACACUGAAGACCGUAACCAGCAAAGGCGAAGAAGCCAUUUUCAUUAUUGAAAAAGAAAAAUGAAAAAGAAAAGGAAAAUGAAAAAGAAAAAGAAAAGGAAAACUGAUUAUAUGCAGAAAAUGAU
rnacentral:lncRNA from 1 species